UACGAAGGGGGCUAGCGUUGCUCGGAAUCACUGGGCGUAAAGGGUGCGUAGGCGGGUCUUUAAGUCAGGGGUGAAAUCCUGGAGCUCAACUCCAGAACUGCCUUUGAUACUGAAGAUCUUGAGUUCGGGAGAGGUGAGUGGAACUGCGAGUGUAGAGGUGAAAUUCGUAGAUAUUCGCAAGAACACCAGUGGCGAAGGCGGCUCACUGACCCGAUACUGACGCUGAGGCACGAAAGCGUGGGGAGCAACAGGAU
rnacentral:rRNA from 1 species